rnacentral:rRNA from 1 species
GACGAACGCUGGCGGCGUGCUUAACACAUGCAAGUCGAGCGGUAAGGCCCUUUCGGGGGUACACGAGCGGCGAACGGGUGAGUAACACGUGGGUGACCUGCCCUCAGCUCUGGGAUAAGCCUGGGAAACCGGGUCUAAUACCGGAUAUGACUCCAUGACGCAUGUUGUGGGGUGGAAAGCCUUGUGCGGCUGAGGAUGGGCCCGCGGCCUAUCAGCUUGUUGGUGGGGUGANGGGCCUACCAAGGCGACGACGGGUAGCCGGCCUGAGAGGGCGACCGACCACACUGGGACUGAGACACGGCCCAGACUCCUACGGGAGGCAGCAGUGGGGAAUCUUGCGCAAUGGGCGAAAGCCUGACGCAGCGACGCCGCGUGAGGGAUGACGGCCU